rnacentral:hammerhead_ribozyme from 1 species
AUUCAUCUGAUGAGUCGCAAAUAAGAUGGAACACGAGUCCUGUAU